AGCGAGGAUUCUCUCCUCCGUGUCAAGUGGUGUACCCACCCCUCUGCUGCUAGCCGCGUUAGCAUCGUUACGACCGAACGACCCCUCGUCUAAAUGCUAACGGCUGCUUCACCUGAGCACUCCGGUCGAUGUAACGUUCAAAGCAACGGUUGUGUUGACGCCGCGGAGCCCUGAAGUCGCUGCUGCCUGCCAGGGGGAGAGCGGUGAGAGGCAGCGGCUUCCUUCCCCACAGAUGCUGGUGAAUAAAUUGGUCGCCAGCAUGCAACCUGGAGAGAAAACUAAUGGCUUUGUCCGUGAGAGGACCGGCGUGUGCGGGCUGCUUUCAUCCAGGCCGUGCCAAAGUGCAUUUGACUCACAUUAAAAGGAGAAGGAUAUAGUUA